rnacentral:guide_RNA from 1 species
AUACGACAACUACGACAUAGAUCAGAGAGUGUUAUUGAUUA